UCGAGGAUCUUCUGCAAUGGGCGAAAGCCUGACAGAGCGACGCCGCGUGUGGGAUGAAGGCCUUCGGGUUGUAAACCACUGUCACCGGUUAUGAAGAGACACGGGGCUAAUAUCUUCGUGUUUUGACAAAGGCCGGAGAGGAAGCCACGGCUAACUUCGUGCCAGCAGCCGCGGUAAGACGAAGGUGGCGAGCGUUGUUCGGAAUCACUGGGCAUAAAGCGCACGUAGGCGGCGGCGUAAGUCGGGUGUGAAAUCCCUCGGCCUAACCGAGGAACUGCGCCCGAUACUGCGUUGCUUGAGGGUCAAAGGGGUGCAUGGAAUUCCCGGUGGAGCGGUGAAAUGCGUUGAUAUCGGGAGGAACGCCGGCGGCGAAAGCGGUGCACUGGUUGACUUCUGACGCUGAUGUGCGAAAGCCAGGGGAGCAAACGGGAUUAGAUACCCCCGUAGUCC
rnacentral:rRNA from 1 species